rnacentral:rRNA from 1 species
AUUGAACGCUGGCGGCAUGCCUUACACAUGCAAGUCGAACGGUAACAGGUCUUCGGAUGCUGACGAGUGGCGAACGGGUGGGUAAUACAUCGGAACGUGCCUAGUAGUGGGGGAUAACUACUCGAAAGAGUGGCUAAUACCGCAUGAGAUCUACGGAUGAGAGCAGGGGAUCGCAAGACCUUGUGCUACUAGAGCGGCCGAUGGCAGAUUAGGUAGUUGGUGGGAUAAAAGCUUACCAAGCCGACGAUCUGUAGCUGGUCUGAGAGGACGAUCAGCCACACUGGGACUGAGAAACGGCCCAGACUCCUACGGGAGGCAGCAGUGGGGAAUUUUGGAAAAUGGGCGCAAGCCUGAUCCAGCAAUGCCGCGUGCAGGAUGAAGGCCUUCGGGUUGUAAACUGCUUUUGUACGGAACGAAAAGCCCCGGGUUAAUACCCUGGGGUCAUGACGGUACCGUAAGAAUAAGCACCGGCUAACUACGUGCCAGCCGCCGCAGUAA